UACGAAGGGGGCUAGCGUUGCUCGGAAUCACUGGGCGUAAAGGGUGCGUAGGCGGGUCUUUAAGUCAGGGGUGAAAUCCUGGAGCUCAACUCCAGAACUGCCUUUGAUACUGAAGAUCUUGAGUUCGGGAGAGGUGAGUGGAACUGCGAGUGUAGAGGUGAAAUUCGUAGAUAUUCGCAAGAACACCAGUGGCGAAGGCGGCUCACUGGCCCGAUACUGACGCUGAGGCACGAAAGCGUGGGGAGCAAACAGGA
rnacentral:rRNA from 1 species